rnacentral:rRNA from 1 species
UACGUAGGGUGCGAGCGUUAAUCGGAAUUACUGGGCGUAAAGCGUGCGCAGGUGGUUGUGCAAGACAGGUGUGAAAUCCCCGGGCUUAACCUGGGGACUGCAUUUGUGACUGCACGGCUAGAGUGCGGUAGAGGGGGAUGGAAUUCCGCGUGUAGCAGUGAAAUGCGUAGAUAUGCGGAGGAACACCGAUGGCGAAGGCAAUCCCCUGGGCCUGCACUGACACUCAUGCACGAAAGCGUGGGGAGCAAACAGG